UCUCUUGCCUGCCCCUGUGUAGCAUGUGACUUCGCUGUUCUUUGGCCUUCCACCAUGAUUGUGAGACCUCCUCAGCCAUGUGGAACUUCCCUCCUGGAGAUGAAGAAAGAGUUCAGUCACCCUGCUGAGGAGAGAAAAGGCCAUUAUUGUCAAAAGAAGGCACCUGUCCUAGAUUUAAGGGAGGUGCGUUAUCCUGGAUGGUUUCUAGGCCUCAGUGGGAUGGUCUGAUGACUUCGUCUCACCCCCCAGAGACAAGGUCUUGCUAUGUUGCCCAAGCUGGUCUGAAACUCCUGGCCUCAAGCUGUCCUCUGCCUCAGCCUCCCAAAAUGCUGGGAUUACAGGCAUGAGCCACCGCACCUGGUCCUAUUUCCCUUUUCUAGACUCAAGCUAUACUCCAUAUUUAUUGGAAGCCAGUUACUAAGACCCGCUUACACUCAAAAGGAGUGGAAUCGAGACAGGGUUUCGCCAUGUUGCUAAGGCUGGUCUUGAACUCUCGGACUCAAGUGAUCCUCCUGCCUCAGCCUCCCAAAGUGCUGGGAUUACAGGACUUCUUCCUGCCACCUUGUGAAGAAGGUGCUUUGCUUCCUUUUUGCUUUCCGUCAUGAUUGUAAGUUUCCUGAGGCCUCCCCAGCCAUGCUGAACUGUGAGUCAAUUAAACCUCUUUCCUUUAUAAAUUACCCAGUCUCGGGCCGUUCUUUAUAGCAGUAUGAAAAUGGACUAAUACAGCUUGUGUGAUAAUUUCACUGGAUGAUGUGAAGGCUUUUUUGAAAAUGUUCAAGGCUCUGCCCAAAUAUGUGAUGGUGGAAUUUAUUAUGAUAUGCAAAUGAUACUUAUAAUAGUGAUGUGAUUUUAUUUAUUUAUUUAUUUUUUUUGAGACAGGGUCUCACUCUGUCUCUCAGGAUGGAGUGCAGUGGUGCGAUCACAGCUCACUGCAGUCUCAACCUCCUGGGCUCAAUUGAUCCUCCCACCUCAGCCUCUUGAGCAACUGGGACUACAGGCAUGCACCAACACACC
ensembl:lncRNA novel transcript